rnacentral:rRNA from 1 species
UUGACAAAAUUCAUAGAAAUUAUCUUUAUUGAUGAGUUUGAUCCUGGCUCAGAAUGAACGCUAGUGGUUUGUUUUAAGACAUGCAAGUCGAACGAAUUAUAUAAAAUAGUUCGUGGCGAACGGGUGAGUAACACAUAAAAAUUUUCCCAACUGUCCAGGUAAAUCCUGGAUAAAUAAACAUAUUAAAGAUUAAUCGCAGUUGGAUAAGUUUAUGUAGGAUUAGAUAGUUGGUAAGAUAAAAGAUUACCAAGUCUAUGAUCCUUAGCUGGUCUGAGAGGAUGGUCAGCCACACUGGGACUGAGAUAAGGCCCAGACUCCUUCAGGAGGCAGCAGUCGAGAAUAUUAGGCAAUGAGCGAAAGCUUGACCUAGCAAAACCACGUGUGUGAAGACGGCCUUUAGGUUGUAAAGCACUUUUGUUGGAGAUAAUGAUGAUAGUAUCCAAAGAAAAAGUCCUGGCAAAUUCCGUGCCAGCAGCCGCGGUAAUACGGGAAGGGCAAGCGUUAUUCGGAAUUACUGGGUGUAAAGGGUGCGUAGAUGGUUAAAAAUAACUAAAAUAUAAAAAGUAAUGCCCAACAUUAUUAAGCGUUUUAGUAUUUUUUAUCUUGAGUUUAAAAGACGAUUAUAGAAUUUUAGGUGUAGCAGUAAAAUGCGUAAAUAUCUAAAGGAAUUCUCUCUGUGAAAACGUUAAUCGAGUUUAUAACUGACAUUGAGGCACGAAAGCGUGGGGAGCAAAAAGGAUUAGAGACCCUUGUAGUCCACGCCGUAAACGAUGAAUGUUAGGUCCUGGUUUUAGCAUUAAAAAUCAGGGUCGAAGUUAACGCGUUUAACAUUCCACCUGGGAAGUACUAUCGCAAGGUAGAAACUCAAAGGAAUUGACGGGAACUUGCACAAGCGGUGGAGCACGUAACUUAAUUCGAUGUCACACGAAAAAUCUUACCAAUUCUUGUCAUUUUGAUUAUAAUUAUCUUUUUUAGAUAGUUUAUUAAAUCAAAACAGGUGCUGCAUGGCUGUCGUCAGCCCGUGCUGUGAAGUGUUUGGUUCAUUCCAAUAAACGGGCGCAACUCUUAUAACUUAUUAUUUUAAAUUGAUAAGUUAAACUGUUAACGAUAUGUUAAAGGAAGGUGAGAAUGACGUCAAGUCCUCAUGGCCCUUAUGAAUUGGGCUGUAUACGUGCUACAAUGGCUUAUUACAAAAAAUUUCUAUUAUGUGAAUAAUAGAAAUUUUAUAAAAUAAGUCUCAGUUCGGAUUAUUCUUUGUAACAAGAAUAAGAAAGUUGGAAUCGCUAGUAAUCGCAAAUAAGAAUGUUGCGGUGAAUAAGUACCCAAGUUUUGUACACACUGCCCGUCACACUAUGGAAAUUAAUCUUGUCGGAAGAUAAAAUAAAUACUAAAGUUAACUUUAAAAUAAUUUGAUUAAAAUAAUAAUUUUUUAAAGUUAAUUUUAGUAUUUAUUUUAUUGAUGACAGGAUUAAGGACUGGAGUGAAGUCGUAACAAGGUAGCCGUAGGGGAACCUGUGGCUGGAUUAUUUGAAGUUUUUAUUGUU